rnacentral:rRNA from 1 species
GGAAUCUUCCACAAUGGACGCAAGUCUGAUGGAGCAACGCCGCGUGAGUGAAGAAGGCUUUCGGGUCGUAAAACUCUGUUGUUGGAGAAGAAUGGUCGGCAGAGUAACUGUUGCCGGCGUGACGGUAUCCAACCAGAAAGCCACGGCUAACUACGUGCCAGCAGCCGCGGUAAUACGUAGGUGGCAAGCGUUAUCCGGAUUUAUUGGGCGUAAAGCGAGCGCAGGCGGUUUUUUAAGUCUGAUGUGAAAGCCCUCGGCUUAACCGAGGAAGCGCAUCGGAAACUGGGAAACUUGAGUGCAGAAGAGGACAGUGGAACUCCAUGUGUAGCGGUGAAAUGCGUAGAUAUAUGGAAGAACACCAGUGGCGAAGGCGGCUGUCUGGUCUGUAACUGACGCUGAGGCUCGAAAGCAUGGGUAGCGAACA